GGUGUUAACUAGGCUGAAAUGCCAGCAGAAAAAGAGACCUGGAGUUGUCAAACCAUGUCAAACACACAGGCAAACUACGAGAAAUAUUCAACGAAGACCGUCGAGAUUGCCUACGGAUUUGAUUCAAGAAAUCCAAGUUCCAGCAGGUUCUUGCAAGUACUCCAAACUUUGCCACUGCUUAUCAAUACGUUUGUGAUGAGUGGCGUGUGUUGCCAGAGAAAGAAAAGGAAAACUACACCAGAAUGGCUCUAGCUGCUGAACACCUGCUUGACUGAUGUGGUUUAGGGAAAUUUUCAGUGAUGUAGUCAAGAACUUUUUGAGAAGCAAGGUCUCCACCAAAUACUUAACUAGUUAGGAGGGAACAAAGCUGAAGUACAUUGGCAUUUGAUGGUACAUGCAUAUAAGUAAGAUUACAAAGCAACAUAAUGACUUCAGACCAUCACUGUUUGAUUAAAGUUAACUUUUUAGGACAAAAGUACUUGCAAAGUACUCAGCCGAGUAUGUGACGAUAUUGAUGUACAUUUUGCUAAGUGUUCCAUAUGUAUUUUUUUUCCAUUUUUCAACCAUAAAACUUGUUGAACCUAUGAAAAAAGAAACUAAAUCAUUGCAUGAUGAAACGAACACUGAAGAAACAGCCAUGUCAAAAUAUGAAGGGCAUUUUAAAGAUACGUAUUCGGGAUCUCCCGAUGAAAAACUGAAUGCAUUUUUCAGUAGAUGUGAGUUGAAUGCCAAAGUAUGUGACUUCGCCUCUGAUAAACUACGCUUGACACAAAGUCUUAGACUUAAAGGUAAUGCAGCGAUGUGGUUGUCUACCCUUGAUGACUGUACGAAAAGCUCGUAGGAAAGUCUUAACGCUGCCUUGAUUGACAAUUUCAGGGUAAAAACCAGAAUUGGGUAAACAAAACCAAAUUAGCCUCCCGUGUUCACGAAGAAUCUGAAUCACUGGACAUUAAUUUUUCAGAUAUAUCUUCUUUGAGUCACACGUUGCAAAAAUUGGAUCGAGAGAGAUUAACUCAUUUAAUUCAUUAGGGGCUUACAACCACGAGUUAAAGCUUUCGUUAUCUCAAAAAAACACCUGAAUCUUUGAACUGUGCACUUCAUUAUGUAGGUUUUGCACAAAUUGUGUCAGAGUCACCAGCCCCGCCACCAACCAUGGUGCAUUCUACACAAGUUUUGCAAUCAUCUGUUGAGCCUAAUUCCCAAUCUAACCAGGCUAAUACAAUUCAGUAGAUAGUUAACGACGUCGCUCAAAUAAAGACGACAGUUAACGAAAUACUGAACCAAGGCACAAAGACCAAAACUCUGCAAGGCCAAGCUGGACCUCAUAGGCAAACCAAUACUCCCAACAAAGUAGAUUGAUUUGUUAUCAAUGUGGUAAACCAGGUCACAGACAAUUUGAGUGUUACUCUAAAUUUCACAUUCAAGGGUAUCCUUUAAACUAAGAGCCCUGUCUACUUGUGAUAUAAACAAAAGAUCUGGAAUUAUAGGCGAAGGGGUUUUAUUGAUCAUGGUAUAGAUGUGACAAUGCAAGGCUGUUGUAUCGAUGUACGAUUAGGGUCUAAAUCACGAUCUUGUCUAUUGGACUCUGCAAAUAUUAAUGUCAUUAGUGAGAAAUGUUUUCGACAAUCGACUGAAUGUAAUGCCGUUGAAAUUUGAGAUUGUGAAAUUUCCCAAGCAGUAAUUGCUGGUACUUGCCUCAACAUUCUAGGAAUUGCAGAGAUUGCUUUGACUAUAGUUGU